rnacentral:tRNA from 1 species
UCCUGUGUGGCUCAGUCGGUAGAGCAUGGCGCUUGCAACGUCACGGGUCAUGGGUUCGAUUCCCGCUGGGG